CACCGACCUAAGGUUUCAUUUCUAAACCUCACUUAUAGGUAUAUAUGUUUGAUUGAAUACACCAUGGGAGAUCCUAGGAUUUUGAAUUUCAGAUUUAUCGAAUUUCAUAAAAAUUUUGAAAUCUAAUCUUUCGUUGCAUGAUCCAAAACCUAACAGUGAUAUCAGAGCCUUCUUUGAUUGAUUCAAUCAAUAUGAUAUUUAUUGAUGAUCAAAUUUUGUUAUUCAUCAUUCUGUAAGGUUGCCCUGGCAUAGUGGUGGAUGUCCGCUAUGUGGUAGAUGGUUGUCCUAAAAUGAUGAAAU
rnacentral:lncRNA from 1 species